AUUGAACGCUGGCGGCAGGCCUAACACAUGCAAGUCGAACGGUAACAGGAAACAGCUUGCUGUUUCGCUGACGAGUGGCGGACGGGUGAGUAAUGUCUGGGAAACUGCCUGAUGGAGGGGGAUAACUACUGGAAACGGUAGCUAAUACCGAAUAACGUCGCAAGACCAAAGAGGGGGACCCUCGGGCCUCUUGCCAUCGGAUGUGCCCAGAUGGGAUUAGCUUGUUGGUGGGGUAACGGCUCACCAAGGCGACGAUCCCUAGCUGGUCUGAGAGGAUGACCAGCCACACUGGAACUGAGACACGGUCCAGACUCCUACGGGAGGCAGCAGUGGGGAAUAUUGCACAAUGGGCGCAAGCCUGAUGCAGCCAUGCCGCGUGUAUGAAGAAGGCCUUCGGGUUGUAAAGUACUUUCAGCGGGGAGGAAGGGAGUAAAGUUAAUACCUUUGCUCAUUGACGUUACCCGCAGAAGAAGCACCGGCUAACUCCGUG
rnacentral:rRNA from 1 species